GAUGAACGCUGGCGGUGUGCCUAACACAUGCAAGUCGAGCGAACAGACGAGGAGCUUGCUCCUUUGACGUUAGCGGCUGACGGGCGAGUAACGCGUGGAUAACCUUCUUAUUAUUCGUGGGUGACAUCGUGGAAACGCUGACACUACUAGCUCAUACGUUCUACGGCUUGGUGCAGUAGAGCAUGACGCCUUUGCCGAUACUUAUAGCCGAUUCCGCGUCGGAUUAGCUAGUUGGUAAGGUAACGGCCUACCAAGGCGACGAUGCGUAGCCGACCUGAGAGGAUGAUCAGCCACACUGGAACUGAGACACGGUCCAGACUCCUACGGGAGGCAGCAGUGGGGAAUAUUCGACAAUGGGCGAAAGCCUGAUGCAGCAACACCGCGUGGGUGAUGAAGGUCUUCGGGUCGUAAAGCUCUGUUAUUAGGAAAGAAAAGAAGCAGGUGAAUCCACCGACGUCUUGACGGUACCCAAACAGUAAGCACCGGCUAACUUCGUG
rnacentral:rRNA from 1 species